rnacentral:rRNA from 1 species
AUUGAACGCUGGCGGCAGGCCUAACACAUGCAAGUCGAGCGGAUGAAGGGAGCUUGCUCCUGGAUUCAGCGGCGGACGGGUGAGUAAUGCCUAGGAAUCUGCCUGGUUGUGGGGGAUAACGUCCGGAAACGGGCGCUAAUACCGCAUACGUCCUGAGGGAGAAAGUGGGGGAUCUUCGGACCUCACGCUAUCAGAUGAGCCUAGGUCGGAUUAGCUAGUUGGUGGGGUAAAGGCCUACCAAGGCGACGAUCCGUAACUGGUCUGAGAGGAUGAUCAGUCACACUGGAACUGAGACACGGUCCAGACUCCUACGGGAGGCAGCAGUGGGGAAUAUUGGACAAUGGGCGAAAGCCUGAUCCAGCCAUACCGCGUGUGUGAAGAAGGUCUUCGGAUUGUAAAGCACUUUAAGUUGGGAGGAAGAGCAGUAAGUUAAUACCUUGCUGUUUUGACGUUACCAACAGAAUAAGCACCGGCUAACUUCGUG